AGAGUUUGAUCCUGGCUCAGGAUGAACGCUAGCGACAGGCCUAACACAUGCAAGUCGAGGGGUAACAGGGGAGCUUGCUUCCGCUGACGACCGGCGCACGGGUGAGUAACACGUAUGCAACCUGCCUGUAAUUGCGGGAUAGCCUUUUGAAAGGGAGAUUAAUACCGCAUGUGAUUAUAUUACCGCAUGGUAAUAUACUUAAAUGCAAAGAUUACAGAUGGGCAUGCGUUUCAUUAGCUAGUUGGGGGGGUAACGGCCCACCAAGGCUACGAUGAAUAGGGGUUCUGAGAGGAAGGUCCCCCACACUGGUACUGAGACACGGACCAGACUCCUACGGGAGGCAGCAGUGAGGAAUAUUGGUCAAUGGACGGAAGUCUGAACCAGCCAUGUCGCGUGCAGGAUUACGGCCCUAUGGGUUUUAAACUGCUUUUAUACGAGGAUAAAAUGUACUAUGUAUAGUAUAUUGCAGGUAUCGUAUGAAUAAGGAUCGGCUAACUCCGUGCCAGCAGCCGCGGUAAUACGGAAGGAUCCGAGCGUUAUCCGGAUUUAUUGGGUUUAAAGGGUGCGUAGCUGGGAAAUAAGUCAGCGGUGAAAGUUCAGGGCUUAACUUUGAAAUUGCCGUUGAAACUGUUUUUCUUGAGUAUAUUGGAAGUAGGCGGAAUGUGUAGUGUAGCGGUGAAAUGCAUAGAUAUUACACAGAACCCCGAUUGCGAAGGCAGCUUACUAUACUAUUACUGACGCUGAUGCACGAAAGCGUGGGGAUCAAACAGGAUUAGAUACCCUGGUAGUCCACGCUGUAAACGAUGAUAACUCGCUGUUUGCGAUAUACCGCAAGUGGCCAAGCGAAAGCGUUAAGUUAUCCACCUGGGGAGUACGCCGGCAACGGUGAAACUCAAAGGAAUUGACGGGGGCCCGCACAAGCGGAGGAACAUGUGGUUUAAUUCGAUGAUACGCGAGGAACCUUACCCGGGCUUGAAAUGCAUCUGACGUACUGUGAAAGCAGUAUUCUAGCAAUAGCAGAUGU
rnacentral:rRNA from 1 species